rnacentral:rRNA from 1 species
AUUGAACGCUGGCGGCAUGCCUUACACAUGCAAGUCGAACGGUAACAGGUUAAGCUGACGAGUGGCGAACGGGUGAGUAAUAUAUCGGAACGUGCCCAGUCGUGGGGGAUAACGUAGCGAAAGCUACGCUAAUACCGCAUACGAUCUACGGAUGAAAGCGGGGGAUCGCAAGACCUCGCGCGAUUGGAGCGGCCGAUAUCAGAUUAGGUUGUUGGUGAGGUAAAAGCUCACCAAGCCUGCGAUCUGUAGCUGGUCUGAGAGGACGACCAGCCACACUGGAACUGAGACACGGCCCAGACUCCUGCGGGAGGCAGCAGUGGGGAAUUUUGGACAAUGGACGCAAGUCUGAUCCAGCAAUGCCGCGUGCAGGACGAAGGCCUUCGGGUUGUAAACUGCUUUUGUACGGAACGAAACGGUGAGCUCUAAUACAGUUUGCUAAUGACGGUACCGUAAGAAUAAGCACCGGCUAACUACGUGCCAGCCGCCGCGGUAA